GGGCUGGUUUCCUGCUUUGCAAUGUGAGGAACUGAGUCCUUUCUUCUGUUCUCAUGUGGGUCUGACAGUGUGGACAACCCUGCCAGGCUGACCGCCAGCAGUAGCAGCAGGGUGUGUAGUACAGUGGCUGCAGGCAAAGAUGCAUCCAUCGAGGUUGUGGAUGCUUGGAGCAAAGCAUAUGGAGGGUGGUUGACUUUCUCAUUGUUGAUGUCUUUUUUUGUUUGUUUUCCAGGUGUUUCUGGGACCUCAAGUAACACAGGUGUACCUGAUAUCAGUGGCUCAGUCUAUAACAAGACUCAGAUGUUUGACAAGCAGGGAUUCCACGCUGGCACACCAUCUCCUUUCAGCCUGCCCUCUGCUCCCGGAUCGACUGGGCCCCUGAAUCCUGGUGCUGCCCCAGGUUAUGCUCCAGCCCCAUUUCUCCAUAUCCUGCCUGCACAUCAGCAGCCUCAUUCCCAGAUGCUGCAUCACCAUCUUCAACAAGAUGGGCAGGGUGGAUCUGGCCAAUGUAACCAGCCCAGCACCAUGCAGCAAAAGUCUCAGGCUACCAAAACUACCUAUGGCACUUCUCCUUACUGGACAACCUAAAUUCAAAACUGGGGAGGAGGGAGAGAACGAAAGGAGAGAAGGAAAAAAAAAAAGCAAAAAAAAAAAAAGCUGAAGACCAUUCCUGGAAUUAUUAGGAGAAGUAGUAACUGCUCAGCCAAAUGCCUGUGUGGGGAGAGCUGCAGCCAUGCAGCCAGCCAGCCAGCCAUCCAUCCAUCUAUCCAUCCAU